UACAGAGGUCUCAAGCGUUGUUCGGAUUCAUUGGGCGUAAAGGGUGCGUAGGCGGCGCGGUAAGUCGGGUGUGAAAUCUCGGAGCUUAACUCCGAAACUGCAUUCGAUACUGCUCUGCUUGAGGACUGGAGAGGAGACUGGAAUUCACGGUGUAGCAGUGAAAUGCGUAGAUAUCGUGAGGAAGACCAGUGGCGAAGGCGGGUCUCUGGACAGUUCCUGACGCUGAGGCGCGAAGGGCCAGGGGAGCAAACGGG
rnacentral:rRNA from 1 species